rnacentral:rRNA from 1 species
AUUGAACGCUGGCGGCAGGCUUAACACAUGCAAGUCGAGCGGGGGAAGGUAGCUUGCUACCGGACCUAGCGGCGGACGGGUGAGUAAUGCUUAGGAAUCUGCCUAUUAGUGGGGGACAACAUCUCGAAAGGGAUGCUAAUACCGCAUACGUCCUACGGGAGAAAGCAGGGGAUCUUCGGACCUUGCGCUAAUAGAUGAGCCUAAGUCGGAUUAGCUAGUUGGUGGGGUAAAGGCCUACCAAGGCGACGAUCGGUAGCGGGUCUGAGAGGAUGAGCCGCCACACUGGGACUGAGACGCGGCCCAGACUCCUACGGGGGGCAGCAGUGGGGAAUAUUGGACAAUGGGCGCAAGCCUGAUCCAGCCAUGCCGCGUGUGUGAAGAAGGCCUUAUGGUUGUAAAGCACUUUAAGCGAGGAGGAGGCUACUUUAGAUAAUACCUAGAGAUAGUGGACGUUACUCGCAGAAUAAGCACCGGCUAACUCUGUGCCAGCCGCCGCGGUAA